GAACAACGUUAAGCCUGAUCCCAGAGUUACCCGCAAAGUGACUUGAGCCUUUCUUGAAGGGAAAGGACAAAUGACGUACUCCCGGCGGUGGGGAGCGUGUGGAAAUGAUAUUAAAACUUCAGCAAAGUGCACAGCCGCACGAGGCAGAAGCCGGGACCCAGAUUGACAGGCAAAUAAGCCAGCUCCAGCUCGUGCACGGGGCCUCUGGGUGGCAGCUCUGGGCUAGUGGGUGUUGGACAACUAUAGGCAAAACUGAAAUGGACCAGGGGCAGAAAAUAGCUCACUUUUACGCCACGCAACCGUUGCUGUCGCCUGAUAUUCAAGAAUUUUACUGGGAUAAUUGUCCACGUGAAAUUCCAAGAAUUUUAUCCAAAUGGGGUGAAGCGGCUGCAGCACUGGGGAAAAUGGGUUCUGGCUGCCUUAAAUAGCACCAAUCACCAUAAAGCAACGCGAGAAGCGCAACGCGAGAAGCCUGAAGUCUACAGAUGCACGGCUGGUGGUGUGGCGCAGACGGAGCAAGGGUUACAUCAAGGCUGUUCUCUGGACCGUGCAAACAGUCUAGACCAAUGACCUGCAGCAUCAUGCCCUUUGAAGAAGAGGCAAGUUCGGUCAUGAUGAAGAAAAAUCAAGGCGUACCCCUUGUAACAAUAGGGAGCAGCUCGAGGCUGCAAAGAGGUAAGCAGGGGUAAGAAGAAAAACGGCAUCUGCUUCCAUGGUUACAGGCCAACUAUGAGAACCUUGCUUUUCAAGGGAGUCUGUUCUCAGGCUCCCUCACGGGGUAUGUCAUGCAUUCUAAGCAAAGGCAGGUUGAGCUGAAAUCCGCAUAGUUAUUUCAGAGUAAAAUGAUACAGAGCACA